UGCACGAGUAGCAGUUUGACAUGAGGCAGUCGGUCUGGAUGUAAGAAAUAUAAUGCUAUAGGUCAGGGGUUGCCAAUCCUGUUCAUGGAGAUCUACCUUCCUUCAAAGUUCAGCUCCAAAGCUAAUCAAACACAUAUCAGCUAAUUAAAGGGUUCAUGUGAUGCGAUUUCAAGUUUUCCUUUCCCUUUGGAGUGUUACUAGCUGUUUGUGAAUAGAUAAGAUCCCUAAAGUUGCAAAGACUACAGUCUCUAACACAAAGAGAUAUUCUUAAUAAAAAUUAAGACUUGUCCACGCCCUCCUAAAAUGCCUCAUUUAAACAUGCCCCCACAUGUCUACGUCACGAUGUGGGAAGAUUUGCAUAAGGCUGCCCAAAUGUUCACGCAAAGAAAGAAGGUAUAACUUUGAGAAGCUGUUUCUUUGUGAAAGCGAAAAUACUCUGUUUGGCCUUCCAAAAGAGGACACAACUAGAAAUCAGUUGUUAAGUUGUAUCUAUCUGUUCCAGAACAGUUCAACCCAAAUUCAGAUGGUUGCAGCACAUUUUAUGGAGGACUGGUUUUCAUCAAAGUUGGACCAGGCCAUUUGAGUGUGUCUCUGGAGAAGAGUGCUCCAGGAACAUGCCAGUCUGAAUCUACCCAUGACUGAACAAAUUUCUAGCGCUCCGACAUGCCGAGGUACGUGGAGUUCUGCAGAGAAUUAGCAUUUGGAAACAAUGACAGUACACAGAAAUACACCUUGUGAGCCAGUUAGAUUUGUAUUUGAGAGGAAAUGGGUUGCUCUAAACAGUGAUCGCUUGAGUAUAUCAUGUGUACGGUGGAAGACUGUGAGGCGCUCAUACUGUAGACAUUACACUGCAUAUGUUAGCAUUCAGCGGACUUCCUAAACAUUUCCCAUAAUUGACCUUAAAGGCAGUGUUACUUUAACCUGACAGCAACCAUUCUGCAUUCAGUGUGGCACUAUACUGGAUGUCAAUUGCAGUGGGAAGUGUCAAAUUCACACAUAUGGUACCGUACAGGGUGGAGGUUUAUGUUUACUCAAUCAGUGGUUUUCUUGAGGUUUGCUCUUAAAUGAACAAGGAUAAACUAAACCGUGAUUGGGCUUCUGACAGCACAUUGUGGAUGGAAUUUACUCAUUUAACUGUGUCUGCUGAUACAGUGGUUUAUUUGUGUGUGCUGUCUGCAUUGAAUCAGAGAACAUUUAGCACAGCAUCAAGUUAACGGUGCAAGCCUACCCAAAAAAAUAGUGGUGAACCCAAUUUGCAUGAUGCAUUUCCCCAUUUUACAGGCUGGUUCUGAUUGCUGGGUAGAUGAGGAUGCAGGAGAGUGCACAGAACUGGUUCCAUUUUUAAAAAAUAAAUAAAUAAACAGAAAUACUGCA
ensembl:lncRNA